AAACCAGCACCUCAAGUGGUCAGGAGGAUUAUUGGGCCUAAAGCAUCCGUAGCCUGUUCUGUAAGUUUUCGGUUAAAUCCAUUAGCUCAACUAAUGGGCCGCCGAAAAUACUGUAGAACUCGGGAGUGGGAGAGGUAGACGGUAUUCGGUAGGAAGGGGUAAAAUCCUUUGAUCUAUUGAGGACCACCUGUGGCGAAGGCGGUCUACCAGAACACGUUCGACGGUGAGGGAUGAAAGCUGGGGGAGCAAACCGGAUUAGAAACCCCAGUAGUCC
rnacentral:rRNA from 1 species